rnacentral:rRNA from 1 species
ACGGAAGGCAGCAGUGGGGAAUAUUGCACAAUGGGCGCACGCCUGAUGCAGCGAUGCCGCGUGAGGGAAGAAGGUUUUCGGAUUGUAAACCUCUGUCAACAGGGACGAAAAUGACGGUACCUGUGAAGGAAGCUCCGGCUAACUACGUGCCAGCAGCCGCGGUAAUACGUGGGGAGAAAGCGUUAUCCGGAAUUACUGGGUGUAAAGGGAGUGUAGGCGGGACUGUAAGUCAGAUGUGAAAUAUGCCGGCUCAACUGGCAGACUGCAUUUGAAACUGCGGUUCUUGAGUGAAGUAGAGGGAAGCGGAAUUCCUAGUGUAGCGGUGAAAUGCGUAGAUAUUAGGAGGAACAUCAGUGGCGAAGGCGGCUUACUGGGCUUUAACUGACGCUGAGGCUCGAAAGCGUGGGGAGCAAACAGGAUUAGAUACCCUGGUA